UACGUAGGGGGCAAGCGUUGUCCGGAAUCAUUGGGCGUAAAGAGCGUGUAGGCGGCCCGAUAAGUCCGCUGUGAAAGUCCAGGGCUCAACCCUGGAAUGCCGGUGGAUACUGUCGGGCUCGAAUCCGGAAGAGGUGAGUGGAAUUCCUGGUGUAGCGGUGAAAUGCGUAGAUAUCUGGAGGAACACCGGUGGCGAAGGCGGCAUCCUGGACCAAUUCUGACGCUGAUGAGCGAAAGCCAGGGGAGCAAACGGG
rnacentral:rRNA from 1 species